CUGUUCUUUGUGAAGGCCUGAUCUUAAAUCAAGGAUGGAUCAGGCUUGAUGUCUGACAG
rfam:Ophiophagus hannah scaffold1111.1, whole genome shotgun sequence.